rnacentral:sRNA from 1 species
AUUUCUUCUGCCUUUUUCAAGAUAAUUAGUUCAGAAGGUUUAUGUUUUCAAUUUCACAUAUCCUUGCAUUUUCCUGUUCAAGUUUUGAUCCAUAUGGAUAUCUUAAAUAUGCCUAUCAUUGCAAGUUUAUUUUAGAAG